rnacentral:tRNA from 1 species
GGAGGUACAAUCCGAUAGCCGGCGACGGAAGCGGUCUUGAAAACCGCCGAGGAUCACACCCUUGCAGGUUCGACCCCUGCUGCCUCCG